rnacentral:rRNA from 1 species
CGGUAAUUCGAAGGGAAAGUUUAACCCCGGCCCCCUGGUUGAAACAGAAAUAAAAUGGCCGCGGUAUAUUGACCGUGCAGGGUAGCAUAAUCGUUAGUUUUUUAAUUGGAAUCUUGUAUGAAUGGUUGGACAAAAAAAAAUCUGUCUUUAUAUUAUUAAUUGAAUUUAACUUUUAAGUGAAAAGGCUUAAAUGGAUAAAAGUGACGAUAACACCCUAUAAAGCUUUAUAUAGAUAUAUUAUUUAAUUAAAUUUUUAAUAAAAAUUUAGUAGUAAAAUUUAUUUUAUUGGGGCGAUGAGAGUAAAAUUUUUAUUAACUGCUUUAAGUUUUGAAUACAUUUAUGUUUGAUUAAAAUUUUAAAUGAUCCUAAAUAAAGAUUAAAAGUUUAAGUUACUUUAGGGAUAACAGCGUUAUUUUUUUUGAGAGUACUUAUCGAAAAAAAAGUUUGCGACCUCGAUGUUGAAUUAAAAUUUCUUUAUAAUUGCAGAAGUUAUAAAAGUGGGUCUGUUCGACCUUUAACAUUUUACAUGAUCUGAGUGCGAGACCGGA